rnacentral:rRNA from 1 species
UACAGGGGGUGCAAACGUUGCUCGGAAUGACUGGGCGUAAAGGGCGCGUAGGCGGAUGGCACAGUCAGAUGUGAAAUUCCCGGGCUUAACCUGGGGGCUGCAUUUGAUACGUGUUGUCUUGAGUUCGGAAGAGGGUCGUGGAAUUCCCAGUGUAGAGGUGAAAUUCGUAGAUAUUGGGAAGAACACCGGUGGCGAAGGCGACUUACUGGACACAUAUUGACGCUGAGGUGCGAAAGCGUGGGGAGCAAACAGGG